CCUACGGGAGGCAGCAGUGAGGAAUAUUGGUCAAUGGACGCAAGUCUGAACCAGCCAUGCCGCGUGCAGGAUGACGGCUCUAUGAGUUGUAAACUGCUUUUGUACGAGGGUAAACCCCGAUACGUGUAUCGGGUUGAAAGUAUCGUACGAAUAAGGAUCGGCUAACUCCGUGCCAGCAGCCGCGGUAAUACGGAGGAUCCGAGCGUUAUCCGGAUUUAUUGGGUUUAAAGGGUGCGUAGGCGGUUUGAUAAGUUAGAGGUGAAAUGUCGGGGCUCAACCCCGAAACUGCCUCUAAUACUGUUGGAGUAGAGAAUAGUUGCGGUAGGCGGAAUGUAUGGUGUAGCGGGGAAAUGCUUAGAGAUCAUACAGAACACCGAUUGCGAAGGCAGCUUACCAAACUAUAUCUGACGUGGAGGAACGAAAGCGUGGGUAGCAAACAGGAUUAGAUACCCCAGUAGUC
rnacentral:rRNA from 1 species